CAAACAAUUAAUUCAACUACAAUCAUUGAUUAAUGGUUUAUUAGAUUAAAAUGAGCUCCAAUCGAUUAACUAAUAGCAUCUGCUUAGACGUUUUUAUAGUGUUGUAGUGUAGCCGCCAUCCAGCAGAGGGCGCCGCUGGAUGGUGGAACAGGAAAGAUGGCGGCCAACAAGAACGGGAAAGAAAAACGGUCUAAACAGAGUCCGGUGCGGGAUUCAAACUGCACUUUAUGCGGUUCUGUUUUGAAAUAUAAAGACUGGACAGGCUAAUUAAGUUUUGAGGAACUUGAGAGGUUCUUGCUUUAUUAUAUUUUAUAAAUACGCAUAAGUUUAAUAAUGUGAGGAAAACACUUUUUUGAUAAAAGCUACCAGUUACCAGAGCUAUCAUUAAGCUAAUUUUGAUAGUUUCACAGUAAGUACUACGGAAAAGGUCACUGAUAUUUAUCUUAGUAUUACACAGUAUUCUUUGUUAAAAAUUGCUUUUGAAUCCCUAGAAAUUACACACUGACCCAAAUAUUUGAUGUGUGAUUUUGGCGAUGGCACUCAUCAAAAUGUAAUGUUUGUUGACUGGUUUCUUAAUAAGUUUGUAUGCCUUGUGCUGAAAUGUGCCACACCAAUAAAUGAAAUUGAUAGAUUGAUUUGGUUAGAGUAAACUGUGAUUAAGUAGUAGUUGUAUUGUACUUGUAUUGUUUAUACGUUAGAUAAGAACGAGACCAGAAAUAGUUUUAAGGUUGUUGCUUGUUUAUUGUGAUAGAAACAACCUGACAAAAUGACCGUCAGUCAGAAAACGGAUGCUUAUCAAUUAAUCAUUAAUCAAUGGAUAAUUAAUGGAUAAAAUCGGAAGUUUUUAAGCUUAUAACCGGACGGUGCGGUAUUAGAAGUGACUCCUCAUGGUGAAGAUCCAUUUCUGCCACGUCUUACGGCGUCGGAUCUUUCUUCUUCAGUGACGUCAUGAAUCCAUUUGGCGUCGCCAAGCAUCCUGGGGAAAAUCGACCCGAACUUCACUUUCAACCUGCUGCUCUUCUCCGUGAGCGGGCGAACUUUGGACAACCUGGACCUCACAGACCUCCAAGUAAAUGCCACAAGACCGAACCAAAUAGAGCUCAACCGGAAGGAGGAGCGUUUUUUUAAUCAUUAGUUGUCUGGUGUUUUUUGGGUGGCUCUAGUGGCCUUUAAUUGAUAGAUAAUUUACAGGAAAGUGGGUGAUGAGAGAAGCAGCAAAGGUCACCAGGCCGGGAAUCGAACAUGCGACAGCCGCGUCAAGGACUUAACCCCUGCGCCACCACAGCCCAUCCCAGGAGGAGCGUUUAAUGUUGCUAUGGAUUCUGUGAUUUGCUCCCUUUAUCUGCUUACACACUCACGCUGAAGCUUACAUAACCAUGUUUAUGUGACUGCCGACAGUCGUAUGUAAACAGCCUGAAACUGAUCAGACCAUCCUUCAGGGAGGAAACGGACUGCGGAGGAGAAUAAAAAGCUAAACUCGAGCUACAAUCUUUGCCUCACUUGUUUACAUCCAUAAGCUGUCACCAGAUCCCAUUGACGGCAGUGGAAAGAAAAGGAUCAGCUGCAGUCGGCCAUUGUUGUGAGCAGCAGGUGAAGACGGAGGGAUGGAAAGCAGAUAGAAGCGAAGGAUGAGGCGCUUCGUCAGGCUUUAGUGGACGUUGUUCUUUACCUCCCAACAAGAGGAGGGGAGGCUCCAGCUGCAGCCUAUCAGCAGGAAGGAGGCGCACCACCUCCAUCUUCAUGACAGCGGACAAAUGCAACCAUCAUUAUCUGCAUCACCUCCUGACCCGUCCAAGAGCCGCUUCAGGCGAAAUACUUUCAGCUUCUAAACACACGACAACCCCCCACCCAUGACGGCUAAACUACGUCCAGAUGGGGCUGUGAGGGGGCAGAUCCCCAACUCCAGCCACUCCGUAGAGCGCCGAGAAGUCCUCCCAGUUAGACCCAAUAACCCCGACUUGAUGCCAUUACACUGAAAAAACACUAAAUAUUACCACCAUUUUUGGUCCAGUUCUUACUGCAAAUAUCUUAGUACACUUGAAA